AUUUUUUUGAAGUUACUGAAGAAAGAAUACUCAAAGGCCAACACAACAAUUGAUACAGGAAACAUUUUACUUGACACGCACAGAGCUGAAGCAGUGAAAUUUGGAAGCUCACAGCUGCAAAGACAUCAAUUGGGAGAAAUGAAACAAAAGCUCACAGAAAAGAUGAACAUUCUAAGGGAUUGGAAGAAUCCUUUCAAUGUUGACAACUUAGCACAGAUCAAAAUCAUGGAAGAGCGUCUCAUUGCAACUCUCCAUAGCAUCAAAAACAGAAAAAAGGUAGCUGAGCACUUGCAGUCUCAGACUGUUUCAUAACUGGGCGAAGUUGGUACGUAGAUUAUCUGAAGAAGUUGGCGCAUCCUAACAUUAAUGGAGAGCAAAUUUAUGUAGUUUUCUGUGAGAGACUUCAUCUAACGUGUUUUCAUUUCCAUUGCUGGAAAUUUAUUUCGGAAUUUUAACUAUCAUGCAUCAACUCCCUCUCCCUCAAGGCUAAAAUAUUUAAUAUUUAUAAUCGUUUAUAACUCUUUAAAUUUAUAUCCAUUUGUAUUGUGAAGUAUUGCCCCCGCACCCUUAAUUAGGUUAGUAGUGUAUCUCGAGUCUGGUCCUAUCAGUAUGUGCCAUACUCUUCUUAACUUUUAGAGAUUGAGGAAGCAUUAGAGAUUGA